rnacentral:rRNA from 1 species
AACGAACGCUGGCGGCAUGCCUAACACAUGCAAGUCGAACGAGACCUUCGGGUCUAGUGGCGCACGGGUGCGUAACGCGUGGGAACCUGCCUUUAGGUUCGGAAUAACUCAGAGAAAUUUGAGCUAAUACCGGAUGAUGUCUUCGGACCAAAGAUUUAUCGCCUUUAGAUGGGCCCGCGUUGGAUUAGCUAGUUGGUGGGGUAAAGGCCUACCAAGGCGACGAUCCAUAGCUGGUCUGAGAGGACGAUCAGCCACACUGGGACUGAGACACGGCCCAGACUCCUACGGGAGGCAGCAGUGGGGAAUAUUGGACAAUGGGCGAAAGCCUGAUCCAGCAAUGCCGCGUGAGUGAUGAAGGCCUUAGGGUUGUAAAGCUCUUUUACCCGAGAUGAUAAUGACAGUAUCGGGAGAAUAAGCUCCGGCUAACUCCGUG